rnacentral:hammerhead_ribozyme from 1 species
AUCCAGAUGACGAGUCCCGAACGGGACAAAAUGCGCAUCUUAGAU